rnacentral:rRNA from 1 species
GAUGAACGCUGGCGGCGUGCCUAAUACAUGCAAGUAGAACGCUGAAGCUUGGUGCUUGCACCGAGCGGAUGAGUUGCGAACGGGUGAGUAACGCGUAGGUAACCUGCCUCUUAGCGGGGGAUAACUAUUGGAAACGAUAGCUAAUACCGCAUAAAAGUCGAUAUCGCAUGAUAUUGAUUUGAAAGGUGCAAAUGCAUCACUAAGAGAUGGACCUGCGUUGUAUUAGCUAGUUGGUGAGGUAACGGCUCACCAAGGCGACGAUACAUAGCCGACCUGAGAGGGUGAUCGGCCACACUGGGACGGAGACACGGCCCAGACUCCUACGGGAGGCAGCAGUAGGGAAUCUUCGGCAAUGGGGGCAACCCUGACCGAGCAACGCCGCGUGAGUGAAGAAGGAUGUCGGAUCGGAAAGCUCGGUUGUAAGAGAAGAACGAGUGUGAGAGUGGAAAGUUCACACUGUGACGGUAACUGACCAGAAAGGGACGGCUAACUACGUG